rfam:Erwinia billingiae strain Eb661 complete chromosome.
GGUUAAGUGACUAAGCGUACACGGUGGAUGCCUAGGCAGUCAGAGGCGAUGAAGGGCGUGCUAAUCUGCGAUAAGCGUCGGUAAGGUGAUAUGAACCGCAAUAACCGACGAUACCCGAAUGGGGAAACCCGGUGCACUUUGGUGCAUCAUUGCAACAUGAAUACAUAGUGUUGCAAGGCGAACCUGGGGAACUGAAACAUCUAAGUACCCAGAGGAAAAGAAAUCAACCGAGAUUCCCCCAGUAGCGGCGAGCGAACGGGGAACAGCCCAGAACCUGAAUCAGUUUGUGCAUUAGUGGAAGCGUCUGGAAAGUCGCAGGGUACAGGGUGAUACUCCCGUACACAAAAAUGCACUUGCUGUGAGUUCGAUGAGUAGGGCGGGACACGUGACAUCCUGUCUGAAUAUGGGGGGACCAUCCUCCAAGGCUAAAUACUCCUGACUGACCGAUAGUGAACCAGUACCGUGAGGGAAAGGCGAAAAGAACCCCGGCGAGGGGAGUGAAACAGAACCUGAAACCGUGUACGUACAAGCAGUGGGAGCACCUUCGUGGUGUGACUGCGUACCUUUUGUAUAAUGGGUCAGCGACUUAUAUUCUGUAGCAAGGUUAACCGUAUAGGGGAGCCGAAGGGAAACCGAGUCUUAACUGGGCGUUAAGUUGCAGGGUAUAGACCCGAAACCCGGUGAUCUAGCCAUGGGCAGGUUGAAGGUUGGGUAACACUAACUGGAGGACCGAACCGACUAAUGUUGAAAAAUUAGCGGAUGACUUGUGGCUGGGGGUGAAAGGCCAAUCAAACCGGGAGAUAGCUGGUUCUCCCCGAAAGCUAUUUAGGUAGCGCCUCGUGAACUCAUCUUCGGGGGUAGAGCACUGUUUCGGCUAGGGGGCCAUCCCGGCUUACCAACCCGAUGCAAACUGCGAAUACCGAAGAAUGUUAUCACGGGAGACACACGGCGGGUGCUAACGUCCGUCGUGAAGAGGGAAACAACCCAGACCGCCAGCUAAGGUCCCAAAGUCAUGGUUAAGUGGGAAACGAUGUGGGAAGGCACAGACAGCCAGGAUGUUGGCUUAGAAGCAGCCAUCAUUUAAAGAAAGCGUAAUAGCUCACUGGUCGAGUCGGCCUGCGCGGAAGAUGUAACGGGGCUAAACCAUGCACCGAAGCUGCGGCAGCGACGCUUAGGCGUUGUUGGGUAGGGGAGCGUUCUGUAAGCCGUCGAAGGUGGCCUGUGAGGGCUGCUGGAGGUAUCAGAAGUGCGAAUGCUGACAUAAGUAACGAUAAAGCGGGUGAAAAGCCCGCUCGCCGGAAGACCAAGGGUUCCUGUCCAACGUUAAUCGGGGCAGGGUGAGUCGACCCCUAAGGCGAGGCCGAAAGGCGUAGUCGAUGGGAAACAGGUUAAUAUUCCUGUACUCGGUGUUACUGCGAAGGGGGGACGGAGAAGGCUAUGUUAGCCGGGCGACGGUUGUCCCGGUUUAAGCAUGUAGGCGGAGAGUUUAGGUAAAUCCGGACUCUUUUAACGCUGAGGUGUGAUGACGAGGCACUACGGUGCUGAAGUAACAAAUGCCCUGCUUCCAGGAAAAGCCUCUAAGCAUCAGGUAACACAGAAUCGUACCCCAAACCGACACAGGUGGUCAGGUAGAGAAUACCAAGGCGCUUGAGAGAACUCGGGUGAAGGAACUAGGCAAAAUGGUGCCGUAACUUCGGGAGAAGGCACGCUGGCGCGUAGGUGAAGGGACUUGCUCCCGGAGCUGAAGCCAGUCGAAGAUACCAGCUGGCUGCAACUGUUUAUUAAAAACACAGCACUGUGCAAACACGAAAGUGGACGUAUACGGUGUGACGCCUGCCCGGUGCCGGAAGGUUAAUUGAUGGGGUUAUCCGCAAGGAGAAGCUCUUGAUCGAAGCCCCGGUAAACGGCGGCCGUAACUAUAACGGUCCUAAGGUAGCGAAAUUCCUUGUCGGGUAAGUUCCGACCUGCACGAAUGGCGUAAUGAUGGCCAGGCUGUCUCCACCCGAGACUCAGUGAAAUUGAACUCGCUGUGAAGAUGCAGUGUACCCGCGGCAAGACGGAAAGACCCCGUGAACCUUUACUAUAGCUUGACACUGAAUAUUGAACCUUGAUGUGUAGGAUAGGUGGGAGGCUUUGAAGCGUGGACGCCAGUCUGCGUGGAGCCAACCUUGAAAUACCACCCUUUAACGUUUGAUGUUCUAACCUGGCGCCGUGAUCCGGCGUGGGGACAGUGUCUGGUGGGUAGUUUGACUGGGGCGGUCUCCUCCUAAAGAGUAACGGAGGAGCACGAAGGUUAGCUAAUCACGGUCGGACAUCGUGAGGUUAGUGCAAUGGCAUAAGCUAGCUUGACUGCGAGAGUGACGGCUCGAGCAGGUGCGAAAGCAGGUCAUAGUGAUCCGGUGGUUCUGAAUGGAAGGGCCAUCGCUCAACGGAUAAAAGGUACUCCGGGGAUAACAGGCUGAUACCGCCCAAGAGUUCAUAUCGACGGCGGUGUUUGGCACCUCGAUGUCGGCUCAUCACAUCCUGGGGCUGAAGUAGGUCCCAAGGGUACGGCUGUUCGCCGUUUAAAGUGGUACGCGAGCUGGGUUUAGAACGUCGUGAGACAGUUCGGUCCCUAUCUGCCGUGGGCGCUGGAAGAUUGAGAGGGGUUGCUCCUAGUACGAGAGGACCGGAGUGAACGCACCACUGGUGUUCGGGUUGUCAUGCCAAUGGCAUUGCCCGGUAGCUAAGUGCGGAAAAGAUAAGCGCUGAAAGCAUCUAAGCGCGAAACUUGCCUCGAGAUGAAUCUUCCCUGGGCCUUUAAGGCCCCUGAAGGGACGUUGAAGACUACGACGUUGAUAGGCCGGGUGUGUAAGCGCAGCGAUGCGUUGAGCUAACCGGUACUAAUGACCCGUGAGGCUUAACCUU